AAGGGCGUGUCCAAAACUUGCCUC
rnacentral:siRNA from 1 species